rnacentral:rRNA from 1 species
AUUGAACGCUGGCGGAAUGCUUUACACAUGCAAGUCGAACGGUAGAGGGGGCAACCCCUCGAGAGUGGCGAACGGGUGAGUAAUAUAUCGGAACGUGCCCAGUCGUGGGGGAUAACGUAGCGAAAGUUACGCUAAUACCGCAUACGAUCUAAGGAUGAAAGCGGGGGAUCGCAAGACCUCGCGCGAUUGGAGCGGCCGAUAUCAGAUUAGGUAGUUGGUGGGGUAAAGGCUCACCAAGCCAACGAUCUGUAGCUGGUCUGAGAGGACGACCAGCCACACUGGAACUGAGACACGGUCCAGACUCCUACGGGAGGCAGCAGUGGGGAAUUUUGGACAAUGGACGCAAGUCUGACCCAGCCAUUCCGCGUGCAGGAUGAAGGCCCUCGGGUUGUAAACUGCUUUUGUACGGAACGAAAAGGUCUCUCUUAAUACGGGGGACUCAUGACGGCACCGUAAGAAUAAGCACCGGCUAACUACGUGCCAGCCGCCGCGGUAA